rnacentral:rRNA from 1 species
AUUGAACGCUGGCGGCAGGCCUAAUACAUGCAAGUCGAACGAGUGGCGGACUGGUGAGUAAUGUCUGGGAAACUGCCUGAUGGAGGGGGAUAACUAUUGGAAACGGUAGCUAAUACCGCAUACCAUCAGAUGUGCCCAGUUGGGAUUAGCUUGUUGGGGGGGUAACGGCUCACCAAGGCGACGAUCCCUAGCUGGUCUGAGAGGAUGACCAGACCCACUGGAACUGGGACACGGUCCAGACUCCUGAGGGAGGCAGCAGGGGGGAAUAUUGCACAAUGGGCGCAAGCCUGAUGCAGCAAUGCCGCGUGGAUGAAGAAGGCCUUCGGGUUGUAAAGUACUUACAGCGGGGAGGCGUUACCCGCAUAAGAAGCACCGGCUAACUCCGUGCCAGCAGCCGCGGUAAUAC